rnacentral:lncRNA from 1 species
AGUAUCUGACGUGCAUGCGAAGUAGAGGGUCUGUACAUCUAGGCCUCUGCAAAGGUUUAUAUCAGAUUAUUUGAGAUUUGAUCUCUGGCUCCACUGCUAUUCAGGUAAGCAUUUGAUCUUUAAUCAUGUAGAUGAAUAGAAAAAUUUUUAGAUGCAACCUGGGCCUUCCAAAGAGAAAUAGUUUUCCUUCCCUUCAAGGGAGUUGUGCACUGAUUUCAUAGAGCUUUCAAAGAGUAAUCUUCACCAAUAUCUUCCACAUCCUCCCAAGCAUCAAAGAAAAGAUGUCAAGCAUCAAAAGAGGAACUCUUCAUCGACUUUCUCCAAG